AGUGAACUGUGGUUGUACAUCACUUGCACUGGGGCUGACCUUGUGCUGGAGAGAUAUCUGGGCAACGGUAAUGAGAAGCAGCGGACAAUGAAGACAGGAUGAUGAGGCUGGCAGAGACAAACUGCAUCAUAUUUAGGAGGCUUUGGGAUGCUCAACGCUGAGUUUCAAAGUGGAUGCCAUUUCCUAGUGUACUUUGGUCAUUUUAGCUAUGGCCAAAAAAAAAACAAAAACAAAAACUGUGACUGUUGGGAAGCACUUGUUGGGAAGCCAUCUUGGCUGUCCAGUAAAGAGGAAGCCCGCCUCAAAUGCAGUUCAUUUACAGGAUGUGAGCUGGCAAGACUAGGAUUAUGAGUGAUGUCUGCUGUUUCCACACCACACCUCUCUGCAUAACAGUGACUCUGCCUUUUGCACAUAAACUGUCUCCUUUAGUGGCAGCAUGCAUGCCAAAGAUGACUGUAACCUGUCUCAAAAAGGGGCCUCCAGCAAUAAUAAUGUUGAAGUUGCCAGACUCAAACAAGGAAAGCAAAGGAAAGGAGACUUAAAAUGAAAUGCUCAAUUGCAAUGAUGACACAGUCUCUUAAGGCCUGAAGAUCAAAGACAUUCACGCACAGAGAUUUCUCCAGAUUAUUUAAAUCUUUUCAUCUUCACAUCUGGGAAACUGCCUCUCUGGGAUGUUGUUUUUAUACUUGUGUUACUGACCUGCUAUCAGUUAAUUAACUGUGAAGCAUUCUGCCAGCUGUUUCUCUUUUUAUUACCAACAACUUUUUGAGACACUUCACUUCCAUCAAAAUCAAAAUGCGGUAAUAUUUUUCAUGACAACAUAAAAUUUUUCAUUUUAAAUAUUUGAUCUGUUUUCUGUUUUGCAAUGUGAAUAAAAUAUGGACCCAGGUCUCCUUGGCCCUGAG